AUCAUUGUGGGACAGUGGGAUAGCAACACAAUCCUGGUGUUCAGAGUGGAAUAGUGUGUACAUUUGCUGCUGGGUCGGGACAACGAUGCUGAGGAUGUGGGGGACAAGCAUGACGCAGAAGGUGAGCACCAGCAUUGAUAUCCAGUUGGCCAAGCAACAGCACCAGUCCGGCCUGCAGGAGCCCCAACACUAAAUGAUCCUUUGCCUUCCCUGAUCCCUAGCUCCUCCCACUGGACCUCCGGCCUCAAAGGGUCAGCAUCGUUACACAAGUCUGUUCUGCAAUAAAUCCUCAGCACGUCAAGUUUUCACGCGCUGUUAUGAACAACCAAAAUGUCUGUGUCGAGGUUUCCCCAAGCAAGCCCGAGUAGUUUUGUUUAGCUCUAGUGCCCGAGUGGGAUGAGUGUUACAGAAGAGAGACGUUAUAGCAGUACUUAUGGUAACGCUAACAGUUAACGCUAACAGUUAGUUCUCGCUGUGGACAUCACGAAGAAUUAAACGUUGAAUAAUUUGUUUAAUUCUUUAUAAGACAGCUUUUUAUUCAGCGAGGAACGGGAGCAAAUCAAGGAACAAUCGAAACAAUAUAUUGGGAAGUAUAUCUGCUGUAGAUAGUUAGGACAGUAGUAGCGUUACGGACUGUCCUCAGUGCACCAUUUAUUCAUGUGGUGCGCAUCAGACGCGAAUUCAGCCCAUUAUUGAGAGGGCGUCGCAUUGAAUUGAGACUAAAGAAGGCUUUGAAACAUGACACCAGUUUUGUUGUAUGGUCCAGUACGCCAUUCGACUCUCAACCCGAAGUUAAUCAGAACUCAAACUCGGCCCUUAACAAUAUCCGCGAGGCCAGCAUAUCAGCUCAGCUUCUGAGCUUCAGAGCCUGUUCCUCCUGGUCCAGGACCUUUGGACAAAUGUUCAAAUAGUACUACCCACAGGAUGAAGCCACUCUGAAUCCGGGGCUCCAUACUUUCUUGGCCAGGGGCCAAGACUACCUCGUCAAUAAGCAGAGCACCAGCAUUGAUAUCGAGUUGGCCCAGCAACCGCACCAGUCCCGCCUGCAGGAGCCCCAGUCCAGAACGACCCUUCCCCUCCCUUGACUUCUAGCUCCUCUCCCUUGACCGCCUGCCUCAAAAAGUCAGCAUCGUUGAACAACUCCGUUCUGCAGCAAAUUCUGAGCAUGAUUCUGUUCUGAACAAACGCAAUGCCCACGUCACGUUUUCCAAACAUAAGCCUGGGUAGUUUUGUUAAGCUAGAGUUCCGCGUGGGCCUGAAAGGGAUGAGUGUUACAGACACAAACAGUUAUAGCAGUAGUUAUGGUAACGCUAACAGUCAGUUGUUGCUGUUGGACAUCACAACAAAUAUCAUGAAGAAUAAAAAUUUCAAUAAGUUGUUCCAAUCUUUAUGGGACAAACAGAAAUUGAACGGAAGAAAAUCAAGGAACAAAAAAGCGUAAGCUUUCCUAGUGGGAUACAUCUGCUGUUGAUAGUUUGGACAACAGUAGGGUUGCGGACUGCCCCAGAUUGUCCUCUCAGCGGCCAAAAUAUCAUAAUAGAACGGACUUUUGGCAAUGUUACUGACACAGAAAGGCAAUAAUGACUUGGUUGUCAAUACCCAGAGCACGAUACAUCCAUGCUGACAAAGAAAGGCAGUAAUGACUUGGUUGUGAACACCCAGAGCGCCAUACAUCCAUGCUGACACAGUAAGGCAGUAAUGACUUGGUUGUGAACACCCAGAGCACAAUACAUCCAUGCUGGCACAGAAAGGCAGUAAUGACUUGGUUGUGAACACCCAGAGCACAAUACAUCCAUGCUGACACAGAAAGGCAGUAAUGACUUUGUUGUAAACACUAAGAGAUCCAUACAUCCAUGCGGUGUGCAACAGACGCAAAUUACGCCCACUAUUUUGAACAAGGUGCUUAAAGUGAACACGUCUGGUUUCUGUUAUGAGCACUUAGCACUCCGAGUCCAAAAGGCCUCGCAUUGAAUUGAUGCGAGAGAAGGCUUUGAAAAAUAACAGCAGUGUUGUUGUUUGGUCCAAUACGCCCUUCGACUCUCAACCUGAAGAAAUCAAAACUCAAACUCGUCUCUUAGCAAUAUCAGCAAGGCCAGCAUGUCAUCUCAGCUUCUUGAACUUCAGUGAACUUAACUAGCAAACAUGACAAACGUCAUUGAAGUGAAAGUCGAUGACAACCCCCUUCUUGCACAAAUACUACAAUUGCUUAAGAAAUUCAGCACGGAGACGUCUUGCGUCAGACUACCAAGCCUCCUAUCAAUAUCUUCUCCCAUGUUGGCUACAUCAACACUUCCAACAGCAGAGCCUUGAGCCGGUUCCUACAGGACCCGAUGCACUGAUUAUGCACAUGUGACUCUUGUACGCAGCUGAAUAAAAGGCUCUCUGGUCAGCUGGACCCGGACGCCAAGGGACACUUCCUGCCCAAGUACCGUGAGGCAAAUGCUCAAUGAGUUCUACCCGAAGUGUGCAGCGUCUCUAGACCUGUGGCUCCAGACUGUCUUACCCAGGGGCCAAGAUUACUUUAUCUGCAAGGUACAUUGAGGCCUUAUACUCACAGGUUCCCCAAAUACAACUCAGCCACAACAUCCUAAUCGGACAACUUGUCAAUCAACAUGGAACAGUACCCUGAAAAUCACGACCAUCUAAAGAACUGUGUAACUGUGCCAAGCGUGACCCUUUAGAGAAAGGGGCUUCCAUGCCGAAGUGGCCGUUGUUCAGUGUCAAGCGGAAUCCUAGCAACCAAGCCACGUCAGCACAGCAGCAAAAACAGUUUCAGCAGCAGUCGUAUACUAAACAUCAACAACAGUGGUGCAUAUGCAUUAAACUACGAGAGUAAACAAGUUGACUGCGUAAUGUGGCAUCAAAGUCUGCAAGGAGAAACCAUGCAAUUGAGGAAGCCAAGAAACCAUGUGAUAAUUUCAAGCAGCUUACCUACUCUUGAAACCCGGAUAGCAAAGCAUUGAGAUUGUUCUGGAAGCAUUUGUAGUCACAGCUCAUUAAGCAUCCCCCUGAAGCAGGACCCUCAGUCUACGGACGCCAAUUGACGAAAUAAAACUUGUCAUUCAGCAACACAGCCAGUUGCAGCAGUUGUUACCAUAUUGACCCCAGUCAAAACUAGGAGCUCAGAGAUAACACAGCCAGUUGCAGCAGUUGUUACCGUAUGGACCCCAGUCAAAACAAGGAGCUCAGAGAUAAAUACUGUUUAAGAAAGAUAUUCUCUACAUUCCUCAUGGUCAGCCAACACAGCCAGUUGCAGCAGUUGUUACCAUAUUGACCCCAGUCAAAACUAGGAGCUCAGAGACAAUCAGCAACACAGCCAGUUGCAGCAGUUGUUACCGUAUGACCCCAGUCAAAACUAGGAGCUCAGAGAUAAAUACUGUUUAAGAUAGAUAUUCUCUACAUUCCUCAUGGUCAGGCAACACAGCCAGUUGCAGCAGUUGUUACCAUCUUGACCCCAGUCAAAACUAAGAGCUCAGAGACAAUCAGCAACACAGCCAGUUGCAGCAGUUGUUACCAUAUUGACCCCAGUCAAAACUAGGAGCUCAGAGACAAUCAGCAACACAGCCAGUUGCAGCAGUUGUUACCGUAUUGACCCCAGUCAAAACUAAGAGCUCAGAGACAAUCAGCAACACAGCCAGUUGCAGCAGUUGUUAACAAAUUGACCCCAGUCAAAACUAGGAGCUCAGAGACAAUCAGCAACACAGCCAUUUGCAGCAGUUGUUACCAUAGUGACCCCAGUCAAAACUAGGAGCUCAGAGAUAAAUACUGUUUAAGAUAGAUAUUCUCUACAUUCCUCAUGGUCAGGCAACACAGCCAGUUGCAGCAGUUGUUACCGUAUUGACCCGAGUCAAAACUAGGAGCACAGAGACAAUCAGCAACACAGCCAGUUGCAGCAGUUGUUACCAAAUUGACCCCAGUCAAAACUAGGAGCUCAGAGACAAUCAGCAACACAGCCAGUUGCAGCAGUUGUUACCGUAUGACCCCAGUCAAAACUAGGAGCUCAGAGACAAUCAGCAACACAGCAAGUUGCAGCAGUUGUUACCGUAUGACCCCAGUCAAAACUAAGAGCUCAGAGACAAUCAGCAACACAGCAAGUUGCAGCAGUUGUUACCAUAUUGAACCCAGUCAAAACUAAGAGCUCAGAGACAAUCAGCAACACAGCCAGUUGCAGCAGUUGUUACCGUAUGACCCCAGUCAAAACUAAGAGCUCAGAGACAAUCAGCAACACAGCCAGUUGCAGCAGUUGUUACCAUAUUGACCCCAGUCAAAACUAGGAGCUCAGAGACAAUCAGCAACACAGCCAGUUGCAGCAGUUGUUACCAAAUUGACCCCAGUUACAACUAGGAGCUCAGAGACAAUCAGCAACACAGCCAG